rnacentral:lncRNA from 1 species
GGAAAUUUCUCCUAAUAUCUGAUGCAAACCUGUAAUUUCUCACUCUGAAGCCAUUCCCCGUGUGCUGUCCCCAAUAUCCCCAAAAUCCCAAUCCCUCUCCUGAUUCCCAGCUGGGCACGGGGUAUCUGCCACCUCGCCGCGGUCCUUGCGGCAGCUGUUUUAGGGCAGAAAUGAUAAUUUUGGGUUCGGAAAGCUGAGCCCCCCUCAGCUCCGCCCCGGCCGCUGCCGCUGCCGGGAGCUCCUGAGGGAGCGCCGCCCCGCCCGCCAUGGCCGCGCGGAGGUAGGAGCGGCCCGGGCCUUUCUUCCUUAUUUCCUUCCUUAUUUCCUUCAUUCCUUCCUUCCUUCCUUCCUUCCUUCAUUCCAUCUUUCUUUCCCUCCUUUCUUCCCCUCACGGCCUCACGGGCUCCGGCGGACCCGCAUCGCCGCCGGCCCCGAGCGCUCCGCUCCCCGCUGCCGGCCCUGCCCUGUCUGUCCUGCCUGUCUGUCCUGCCCUCUUCUGUCCUUCCCUGUCCUGUCUGUCUGUCCUUCCCUGUCCUGUCUGUCCUUCUCUGCCCUGCCCUGUCCUGCCCUGCCCCUUCUCUGCCCCCUCUUCUUGCUCUCCAGGCCUCGUCCUUUCUCUCCACCCCCCCUUUCCCUCUCUCCAGUCCCUCUUUCCUCCAUCUCCAGCCCCCUCUUUGCUCUCCAGUCCCUCUUUCCUCCAUCUCCAGCCCCCUCUUUGCUCUCCAGUCCCCCCACCGUUGUUUGCCAGCCCUUUACUUGAUAUCCACCUUUCCCUCCAUGUUCGCCAGCUCCCUUUCGUAGUUCUUCAUCACCUUCCUUCCUAUCCAGGCCCUCUAUUCGUGCUCUCCACUCCCCUCCUUUCCCUUCAACCCCCAACUCCUUAUUUUCCUCUUACUCUCCAGCACCCAUUUCUUGUUUUGCAGUCCCCAUUUCUUGUUCUGUAGUCCCCAUUUCUUGUUUUCCACUCCCCUCCUUUUCCUUCAGCCCCCCCUUCCUUAUUCUCCUCUUACUCUCCAGUCCCCAUUUCUUGUUCUCCAGCACCCCAACCUUUCCCUUCAGCCUCUACUCCUUACUCUCCUCUUACUCUCCAGGACUGAUUUCUUGUUUUCCAGUCCCCAUUCCUUGUUCUCCACUCCCCUCCUCUUUCCCUUCAGUCCCCCCUCCUUAUUCUCCUCUUACUCUCCAGCACCCAUUUCUUGUUCUCCAGCACCCAUUUCUUGUUCUCCAGUACCCCUCCUUUCCCUUCAGCCCCCCCCUCCUUAUUCUCCCCUUACUCUCCAGCACCCAUUUCUUGUUCUCCAGCACCCAUUUCUUGUUCUCCAGCACCCAUUUCUUGUUUUGCAGUCCCCAUUUCUUGUUCUCCAGCACCCAUUUCUUGUUCUGCAGUCCCCAUUUCUUGUUUUCCACUCCCCUUCUUUCCCUUCAGCCCCCCCUCCUUAUUCUCCUCUUGCUCUCCAGCACCCAUUUCUUGUUCUCCAGUCCCCAUUUCUUGUUUUCCAGUACCCUCUCCUUUCUCUUCAGCCCCCGCUUCUUUGCUCUCCAUCCCCUUUCCUUGCUCUCCACCCCUCGCUUUUAUUGCUUUCCACCCUCCAUUCUUGUUUCCCAGUCCCUUCCUUCUGCUCCAGCCCAGGGCAGAGUUGGGCUGGGAUCCAGGGGCAGCCACAGCUGCUCUGGGCACCCUCCCAGGGCACAAUUCCUUCUCAAUAUCCCAUCCAGCCCUGCCCUCUGGCAGUUCAAAACCAUUGCUCCUUGUCUUGGCACUCUCUGCCCAUAUAAAAAGUCCCUCUCACUCCUUUUUAGCACUGGAAGGGGUCCUAAGGUCUCCCCGGAAUUGUCCUUCCUCCAGGCUGGGCAAUCCCAGUUCUCCCAGCCUGUUUGCAGAGCAGAGGGCCUCAAAUUUUGGGAUCAUCUUUGUGAUCCCUGGUGA